AUGGCUCCUUCCUCCCAGCUACUGACUUUAGUCCUCCUCCUGCUGGCCGCGUCGGCGGCCGUGCCGCGCGGUGCCGCCCUCCACGGCACCAACCUAAAGCGAAUUCGCGCGUACAUGCACCAGACCCUCACGGGUCCGAACGCGACGGAGGUGACGUCGGUGCAGUCCCCGCUGGGCGGCGGCGCGACGUUUGGGCAGAUCACCGUGCUGGACAACGAGCUGCGGGACGGCCCAAACCGGUGGCGCUCAUCACCCCUUGGCCGUUUCCAGGGCUUGGUCGCUGAGGUGGGGCUGGCGGGCACGCCGGGCCUGUUGUCGGCGGCCAACGUGGUGUUCACGGCCGGGCGGCACCGCGGGAGCACGCUGGCCAUGCUGGGCACGGUACAGAACUUACGGGUCACCGUUGAGCGCAGCGUCGUCGGCGGGACCGGUGAGUUCCGCAUGGCGCGCGGGUACAGCUCCAUGGUUUACAUGGCCGGGCCGAGCACGCCGAACAACGAUGUCUACAUGAUCGACUUCUUUGUUCAUGUCUAG
rnacentral:rRNA from 1 species